CUGAUCUUGAAUGUAUGAUGUAUGAAUAAGAAGAAGAGAAUUUGUGAUAUACACUUUUCUGACAGACACAGAAAUCAUAAUCAAUGGCUAAGCACAUUGGCAGUUACGAUGCUUCAUCUGCUUGGACAACUACAGAGUCAAGUAAUCUUAGGACAAGCUUCAUCCACACAACAUUUACUGCCUACAAUAAUACAGCAAGACUGUUCAGAGCCAUAUGUGAGCAACUUUAUUUUAGAAAAAGCAUCAACUUCAACAACAUUCCAACCUGUGGCUGCAGAUGCAUCUCAAGGUGCUUGAUGCUGGAACAUAAUUAUAGUUUUAUUAGCAAGCCUAAAAGAACAGCUGGAAAAGAUCUAAUUGCUCCACAGCGCACAAAGAUCAAGCAACUUCAAGCAGAAAUAUCGCGCUUGCGAAAAAAAGGACAAUCUUUCAAAGCAAGGUUUAAAGGUA